AUUGAACGCUGGCGGAAUGCUUUACACAUGCAAGUCGAACGGCAGCACGGGGCAACCUGGUGGCGAGUGGCGAACGGGUGAGUAAUACAUCGGAACGUGCCCAAUCGUGGGGGAUAACGUAGCGAAAGUUACGCUAAUACCGCAUACGAUCUACGGAUGAAAGCGGGGGAUCGCAAGACCUCGCGCGAAUGGAGCGGCCGAUGUCAGAUUAGGUAGUUGGUGGGGUAAAGGCUCACCAAGCCAACGAUCUGUAGCUGGUCUGAGAGGACGACCAGCCACACUGGAACUGAGACACGGUCCAGACUCCUACGGGAGGCAGCAGUGGGGAAUUUUGGACAAUGGGCGCAAGCCUGAUCCAGCCAUUCCGCGUGCAGGAUGAAGGCCUUCGGUUGUAACUGCUUUGUACGGUAACGAAACGGACGAGCUCUAAUACAGUUGCUAAUGACGGUACCGUAAGAAUAAGACACCGGCUAACUACGUGCCAGCAGCCGCGGUAA
rnacentral:rRNA from 1 species